rnacentral:rRNA from 1 species
UACGUAGGAGACGAGCGUUGUCCGGAAUUACUGGGCGUAAAGCGCGUGUAGGCGGAUGAGCAAGUCUGCUGUGAAAGCUCCUGGCUUAACCGGGAGUGGUCGGUGGAAACUGCUCGUCUGGAGGGCGGUAGAGGUAGGUAGAAUUCCCGGUGUAGUGGUGAAAUGCGUAGAGAUCGGGAGGAAUACCUGUGGCGAAGGCGGCCUACUGGGCCGGACCUGACGCUGAGACGCGAAGGCGUGGGGAGCGAACGGG